UACGGGGGGAGCAAGCGUUGUUCGGAUUUACUGGGCGUAAAGGGCUCGUAGGCGGCCAACUAAGUCGGACGUGAAAUCCCUCAGCUUAACUGGGGAACUGCGUCCGAUACUGGAUGGCUUGGAUUUGGGAGAGGGAUGCGGAAUUCCAGGUGUAGCGGUGAAAUGCGUAGAUAUCUGGAGGAACACCGGUGGCGAAGGCGGCAUCCUGGACCAAUAUUGACGCUGAGGAGCGAAAGCCAGGGGAGCAAACGGG
rnacentral:rRNA from 1 species